rnacentral:rRNA from 1 species
GACGAACGCUGGCGGCGUGCUUAACACAUGCAGGUCGAACGGAAAGGCCCUGCUUUUGUGGGGUGCUCGAGUGGCGAACGGGUGAGUAACACGUGAGUAACCUGCCCUUGACUUUGGGAUAACUUCAGGAAACUGGGGCUAAUACCGGAUAGGAGCUCCUGCUGCAUGGUGGGGGUUGGAAAGUUUCGGCGGUUGGGGAUGGACUCGCGGCUUAUCAGCUUGUUGGUGGGGUAGUGGCUUACCAAGGCUUUGACGGGUAGCCGGCCUGGGAGGGUGACCGGCCACAAUGGGACUGAGAUACGGCCCAGACUCCUACGGGAGGCAGCAGUGGGGAAUAUUGCACAAUGGGCGGAAGCCUGAUGCAGCAACGCCGCGUGCGGGAUGACGGCCUUCGGGUUGUAAACCGCUUUCGCCUGUGACGAAGCGUGAGUGACGGUAAUGGGUAAAGAAGCACCGGCUAACUACGUG